rfam:Schistosoma mansoni, Puerto Rico, WGS project CABG01000000 data, contig: 0013
GCCGGAGUAGCUCAGUUGGGAGAGCGUUAGACUGAAGAUCUAAAUGUCCCCGGUUCGAUCCCGGGUUCCGGCA